UACGUAGGGUGCAAGCGUUGUCCGGAAUUAUUGGGCGUAAAGAGCUCGUAGGCGGUUCGUCGCGUCGGCUGUGAAACCGGACGCUCACAUCGGCCGCUGCAGUCGAUACGGGCAAACUAGAGUAUUGCAGGGGAGACUGGAAUUCCUGGUGUAGCGGUGAAAUGCGCAGAUAUCAGGAGGAACACCGGUGGCGAAGGCGGGUCUCUGGGCAAUAACUGACGCUGAGGAGCGAAAGCGUGGGGAGCGAACAGG
rnacentral:rRNA from 1 species